AACUGGCCUGUAGCAGCCAAGUGGAUAGCGACCUUGCUUGUUGAUCCUUCCAUAUCAGCUCUUCCCAUCUUUGAGACGCAGAAGGCCCAAAGUGUGUGAAAGCUCAUCCGCCAACAGCCAACAGGGAACGCGAGCUGGGUUUAGACCAUCGUGAGACGGGUA
rnacentral:ncRNA from 1 species